rnacentral:lncRNA from 1 species
GAGUCAUCUGCUUGGGUUAUAAAGUCAACAGUCACAGACUGGCCUUGCAUCACUGGACCCAAACCUUUGACCUAACUUUCCCGUCUAAGGUGAAGAGAAAAUGACAAAGCAGUUAGCUUUAACCCAGCUUAUCUGUUUGGCAUUGCUGCAAGAGAGCACUUGAGACUUGGUUACUUAACAUAAAGAGAACAGCACUUGGCUCAGAGCUCCAGGAGUCCGAGACAUACACGACUGAAGUGUCCCUUCAAGCUAGGUCCUUCUGCUUUUUAAAACAUUGCAGGAUACAAUACAUCAUGAGAGGACACACCUAAGAGAGGAGGAGAACUAAGCCUGGUUCGUAACAAACCCACUGUCAUGCUAACGAAUCCACUCCCAGGAUGGCGAGUCUACUUGUGAGCAAAGAAUCCUUAUGACCUGGCUAUCGGUUAGCCACUUGGUGAAGAUCCUGCCAACUAAAAUCUAACAGGGAAGCUUAAGAUUCCAGUAAAGAGCAGGGAGUAGAGUGUUUCUGAACAGCACAGAGCUAUGAGGCAGAGGGCCAGCCCCCCUCUGACAUCUAGCCCGGCAUUCCAUCCUCCAGCUGAACAUCUUGAGCUGGACUGUCUCCAUUUGGACAAGGAAAACUGCCUCUCUUCACUCGCACAUGGAAAGGAGGGCUCAGUCAGUGUUAGCUGAGGACCAGAGAAGCAUGUACUUCCAGCAUCAACACGGUGGUAACCGGUUUGCGAGAACUAUCGGUUCUGAUAGCUCAGGAGGACAGCCAAAUACAGGGUGUGUCAUCAAGAAGUGGAAUAUGUAUUUGUGAAUCUCAGAGAGAGCUCUGAAGUGGACCGUGAGAUCUGAGCAUCAUCAGCUUGUGAGCAGGAGGCAAGACCAUGAAUGCUGACAGAGUCAUUGAAGAAGAACAAGCAGCUGGCAGCCGGGCAUGCAGUGAGCUCAUGUGGACAUUUUCCAGUACAUAUUCUGAUGAGUCACACAAUCAAAAGAGACGGUCCCAAAUAAAAACAUUUAACGUUCUUCAUCACGGACUCUUUAUGUAUGAGUUGUCCUUACUGACGGCUCCCAUGAGGUAACAAGUCUCUUCACAUCUUCAACUCUCAUUCUUGGACAAGAUACGCACAAUCCGGAGUCUACAGGAGGUAGGAGGAUAAUGAGUGAGUCACCCUGAAAAGCAGAGCCUUUGUCCUGUGGCCUGUCUGAUGAGUUGCUUGGUCCAGCAACAAAGCCCAGCCCACCUGUCUAGGUGAUGGCCCCACCUCUUGGGAAACCUGGGAGUUUACCAGAACCUUUCCAUCUCUGAGCCAGAAAAACGGGCGUCACCGUGGAGGUCGCAGCUGGUCUGCAGAACUGAUGAUAAAUCAUGGAGAAGGCAUGAUUUAAAGAAGGACCUACAAUAUCGCUUCCCAGGCCAGAGACAGAAAUGACAUUCACGUGCAGAUUGCCUUCAAACCCUUCAUCCAGAUCAAACCUUCUUUGCCCCCUAUUAAAGAUCGUAUACGUCGCCUCGCCCCGUUUCUCU